AGAUUGAACGCUGGCGGCGUGCCUAACACAUGCAAGUCGAGCGGUAACAGGUGUAGCAAUACAUGCUGACGAGCGGCGAACGGGUGAGUAAUGCUUUGGAAUCUUCCCAGUAGUGGGGAAUAACCAGUCGAAAGAUUGGCUAAUACCGCAUACGUCUGUAAAGGGAAAGCGGGGGCUCGUAAGACCUCGCGCUAUUGGAUGAGCCAAAGUCGGAUUAGCUAGUUGGUGGGGUAAUGGCCUACCAAGGCGACAAUCCGUAGCUGGUCUGAGAGGACGACCAGCCACACCGGAACUGAGACACGGUCCGGACUCCUACGGGAGGCAGCAGUGGGGAAUAUUGGACAAUGGGGGAAACCCUGAUCCAGCGACGCCGCGUGUGUGAGAAGGCCUGCGGGUUGUAAAGCACUUUUAGUGGGACAAAAGCUACGGACUAAUAUUCUGUGGUCUUGAUUUAACCCAAGAAAAGCACCGACUAACUCUGUGCCAGCAGCCGCGGUAA
rnacentral:rRNA from 1 species